UCCCCCCCCUCCCCCUCCUUCCCUUCCAAACACACCUUUCUCCAUUUGUGAGCACACAAAAUUUAAAAAAAAAAAAAAUGAUAUCUUCUUCUUCACUUUAUCUCUAAAUAAAAAUUUCUUCUUUUUCCACCAUUGAAGCAUUUUUUUCACUUUAUCUCUAAAAAAUUCUUUUUUUUUGCUACUGCAGCAGCCCUUCCCUUCCGAACAUUCUCCAUUUUGUUUGUUUAUAUUCUCAUUCAUCUUUUCUAUAUACUGAAUCUCUAGUCCCUGAUUAAGUCAUCGUCAAUGGUGGAUUAUGGAUCGGAUCCUCCCGGAUUCCGAUUAGCUCACAGGUAUAAACAAACUUAGUGGAUGUUGAUUGAACUGUGAACGGAAAUAUAGAACAGAGAGGAUGAAUGACUGGUGUGAUGUUUGUGUUUUUUUAAUUGAUUGAAUUUACAAUUUAAUAAAUUUCUUAAAUAAUUGGAGAAGUUGCUAGUUGUUAGUUCUGAAGGAAUUAGAAUGAAAUUAUGAAUUCGGUUUGACGGAAUUAGAAUUGAAGUAUGGAGUUUUAUUCUUCGUGAGUCAUGACAUUACCUUCAUGAAAGAGUUGUUAGUAGCUGUGAUGGGCUAGAGUGAUAGGUGGUCUACGGCUGACCCUCUGGCCAAAGAAAUUUAGAAAAGAGAUGAAGAAGAAGUAACAAGAGAGAUUGGGGCAAUUUUUUCUCCCCCUUUCUGAAAGCUAACAUUACAAUUUAAAGGAAAAAUGUAAACUACUUCUAAUAAAAUAACUGCAAAUGAAACGUGGCCUAAUAACCAUAAAUGGAAACGUGGGCAUCCCCAUUAUCUCCUUUAUUUCCGCGCAACUACGUCUAAGACUAUUUCAAAGAAAGAGCACAACUACUUCUAAGACUAUUUUAAAGAAAGAAAUCCACCACCCAUUAGUUAGCAUCAUAACAUAGAGCUGUUAUGUAAACAAUUGUACCCGCGUUGAUCUUCGUGGUUGGUUUGAUUUUUCUCCCCGACACACCAAAUUCUCUAAUUGAGCGUGGUAAAGAGGACAAGGUCAAAUCAAGACUGUUAAAAAUCAAGGAAAUUGACAAUGUUGAUGUUGAGUUUAAUGAUUUAGUUGAAGCUUCGUGUUGAGAAAACCAGUAAUCUCAAUCUGGCUUAAUUGAAGCUUCAAUUACCAUUAAUCUCAAUUACCAGAUUAAUUGCCGCAAAAAUGAUGUCUCUGAAGCCACUUUCUGAAAAUUGAGGUUCAUCUCACUCUACUACCAUCAGGUUUCCCGUAUGUUAAUCUUCUACUUUGAUUUUAUAAUUUUUAGUAAUUGUUAUUCCAUUAAAUGCAUUCUGUUUACUUUGAUUUGCCAUUUCCAAAUACUAAUUGGUGUUGUACUCGUUAAAGAUUUAUGGACUAUGAAAGAGGAAGAUGGUGGAGGUUUAAUAAGAUACAAUGGAGAAGAAGAUAUGGAGAAGAAAAUGAUGGUUAUUCUUUUUUUUUAUUUCUUUAAUGUGUCUUUUUUGAUUGGUUGGGGAUUUUUAUGUUUAUUUUUUUUAUUAAUUAUGGUUUCUCACUCUUCUAAUGGAGAGCGUAUUACACAUGUCACGCCAUGUCAAAGUCAUGUCAGCGAUUGUGCUUAAUUGACAUGGUUUAUAAAGGAGUAAAGGGUUCAAUAGGUACAUAACUUAAUUGAGGUGCCUAUCCGAAAAAAGUCGAAUAGUUCAGGAGCCUGUAUAUGUAUUCAGACAUCUAUUUUACAUCAACUACUAAAUUUUGCAAGAAUAAAAAAGUAAUUUUUGUUGG